rnacentral:misc_RNA from 1 species
GAUGAAGAACGCAGCGAAAUGCGAUACGUAAUGUGAAUUGCAGAAUUCAGUGAAUCAUCGAGUCUUUGAACGCACAUUGCGCCCCCUGGUAUUCCGGUGGGCAUGCCUGUUCGAGCGUCAUUAAGUCCACUUAAGCCCUGCUUAGUGUUGGGAGACUGCUCCAGCGGUGCUACCCUGUAGCUACCCUGCAGCUCCUCAAAGACAGCGGCGGAGUUGUGGUAUCCUCUGAGCUUAGUAACUUGUUCUAGCUUUCGAGUACACCACUUCCCCUGCCGUAAAACCCUUAAUUUUUAAUGGUUGACCUCGGAUCAGGUAGGAAUACCCGCUGAACUUAAGCAUAUCAAUAAGCGGAGGA